AAUUGAAGCGAAAGAGACGUGAGUCGAUCCUUCUCUCUCUCGACCUUUGGAUACUGCCCCUCGGUUCCAUUCGACCCUCUCGCCUCGAAUUUUCUGUUCCUCUCCCCUCCUCUGUCGAUAGAAUCGAUCUCGUCUUCGCUCCACUUUGUCGAUCGCCGAACCAAGAACCGUCGGUUCUGCCUGGAGACCAGCGCGUUUGGGAGGAGGGCUCGGUUCGUUCCCGAUUUCGGAGGUUUGGGGGAGAACCGGGCGGUUGGAGAAUGCCUUGAUCGGGUGACGGGCUUUCUUCGUCUGAUCAGGAUUGCAGAUAGCUGCGUUUCAUAAACGGUUGCUGGGUGGGAAGCUUUUUGUUGCUAGGGGAAAGGAUGAUAGAAUGCAAUUUCUGUCACUCCAAAUUUCCGCUUCCAGCAAGUAAAACUGUGUCCAGGGCGUAUGACAACCAUAAGAGCAAGAUAUCCUCAAAACAACGAGCUCUUCAUGUUAUGCUGGUUGUUGGUGAUUGCAUCUUGGUGGGACUCCAGCCCAUCCUGGUCUAUAUGUCUAAGGUGGAUGGGAGCUUCAAAUUUAGUCCCAUCAGUGUUAAUUUUCUGACUGAGGGUACAAAAGUUCUCUUUGCCAUUAUGAUGCUGUUGUUCCAGUCUAGGCGACAAAAAGUGGGAGAAAGGCCUCUUCUCUCUGUAUCUAAUUUUGUGCAGGCAGCUCGAAACAAUAUUCUACUGGCUGUUCCUGCCUUUCUUUAUGCCAUCAACAAUUACCUGAAAUUUAUAAUGCAGUUAUACUUCAACCCUGCUACUGUUAAAAUGUUGAGCAACCUUAAGGUUUUGGUAAUUGCUGUUCUUUUAAAGACCAUAAUGAGAAGACGCUUUUCCAUUAUCCAGUGGGAGGCUCUUGCACUGCUGCUCAUUGGAAUCAGUGUUAAUCAGCUUAGAUCCUUGCCUGAGGGUACCACAGCGCUUGGUCUUCCUGUUGCAACUGGUGCAUACAUGUAUACACUGAUUUUUGUAACUGUACCUUCACUAGCCUCAGUCUAUAAUGAGUAUGCUUUAAAAAGCCAAUUUGAGACGAGCAUAUAUCUUCAGAACUUAUUUUUAUAUGGCUAUGGUGCUAUAUUUAACUUUAUAGCAAUCAUCGGUAUUGCUGUCCUCAAAGGGACAAGUAGUUUUCACAUACUUGAAGGACACUCAAAGGCCACAAUGUUUCUCAUUUGCAACAAUGCUGCACAGGGAAUACUCUCGUCCUUCUUUUUUAAAUAUGCAGACACAAUUCUGAAAAAAUAUUCAUCGACAGUUGCCACUAUCUUUACUGGCAUAGCAUCUGCUGCAUUAUUUGGUCACACUCUCACUAUGAACUUUGUAUUGGGCAUUUCAAUAGUGUUCAUAUCGAUGCACCAGUUCUUUUCUCCACUUGCAAAAGUCAAAGAUGAAACUCCAAAUGGAGAUCUAGAGAUGAGGGAUGCCCAAGAUUACAGAUCCAAGGAAACAUCUUUCAUAGAUAUGGCUGCUGGUGCAACAGAGGAUGCUAGCCACCACUCUGGACCUGAUGAGAAACAACCACUUCUCCCCACAUAAAUUUUCUUGCAAGACGUCAGAAGAAUAUUCUUUGACUGGUCACAAGAAAAAGAUAAGCCAGUCCUAACUACAAUAAAUAGAGCAGUUUGCUGCAGACUCCGACCGAACACAAGGUAUAUAGCUAGCGGCUGUAGAAGACUCGUGUUUUCAGAUUGAUGAAGAGCAUGAAAAGCCUUGAAGCUCAGCUACCCAUGAGGAGAUCCAUCAUGAGGCAGCAGCAUGAAGAACAGGCACAACCUCCAUGCAUAUUAUGACAAAUGAAUUGGCAAGAUCCAAUGUGAAACAGAUCAGUCACAACUUGGGACCAUAAUUCAACCAAAAGACAAUCAUUGAGAAGUCUUCU